rnacentral:rRNA from 1 species
UACGUAGGUGGCAAGCGUUGUCCGGAUUUACUGGGCGUAAAGAGCGCGCAGGCGGUCGAAUAAGUCGAAUGUGAAAGCCCCCGGCUCAACUGGGGAGGGUCAUUCGAUACUGUCCGACUUGAAGGCAGGAGAGAGAAGCAGAAUUCCCGGUGUAGUGGUGAAAUGCGUAGAUAUCGGGAGGAAUACCAGUGGCGAAGGCGGCUUCUUGGCCUGUUCUUGACGCUGAGG